rnacentral:rRNA from 1 species
UACGUAGGGUGCAAGCGUUAAUCGGAAUUACUGGGCGUAAAGCGUGCGCAGGCGGUUAUGUAAGACAGAUGUGAAAUCCCCGGGCUCAACCUGGGAACUGCAUUUGUGACUGCAUAGCUAGAGUACGGUAGAGGGGGAUGGAAUUCCGCGUGUAGCAGUGAAAUGCGUAGAUAUGCGGAGGAACACCGACGGCGAAGGCCGCGCCCUGGACGACACCUGACGCUCAGGCACGAAAGCUGGGGGAGCAAACAGG